UGUGUGUAGGUCAUAGAACCUUCUCUUAUCGUGCGUCUGUUCUGUGGAAUGAUCUCCCUAUGUCAAUAAAAGUCAGAUUUUGUAGAGAUUUUCAAGUCCAGACUUAAAACACACUUAUUUUCCCUUUCAUACGGCUAGCAUACUGGAAUAUUAUGUUAAAUAUGCUUUUUACAU